GAGGCUCGAAGGGUUGCAGGUUGAAAACUGCUCCCAUGAACUGUGGAUAGGAGUAAAAGGCUAAUCAAACCGGCCGAUAGCUGGUUCUCCCCGAAAUAGCUUUAGGGCUAGCCUCACGUCAUAGCGAACAGGGGUAGAGAUACUGAAUGGAUUUGGGGGGCUUACCUGCCUACCCUGUCCAACCAAACUCCGAAUACUGUUCGCCUCUAUCGUGGGAGUCAGACUGCGGGGGAUAAGCUCCGUGGUCGAGAGGGAAACAACCCAGAUCGCCAGCUAAGGUCCCCAAAUAUCAGCUAAGUGGUAAAGGUUGUGGAGACGCUCAGACAGCCAGGAGGUUGGCUUAGAAGCAGCCAUCCUUUAAAGAAAGCGUAAUAGCUCACUGGUCGAGUCGGCCUGCGCGGAAGAUUUAACGGGGCUAAGUUGUGUACCGAAGCUGCGGAUUCAAGUAUCCCUCGGGAUAUUUGGAUGGUAGAGGAGCGUUCUGUAGGCCUGUGAAGGCGUGUUGAAAGGCAUGCUGGAGGUAUCAGAAGUGCGAAUGCUGACAUGAGUAACGAUAAUGCGGGUGAAAAACCCGCACGCCGAAAACCCAAGGUUUCCUACGCAACGUUAAUCGGCGUAGGGUGAGUCGGCCCCUAAGGCGAGACCGAAAGGUGUAGUCGAUGGGAAACUGGGUAAAAUUCCAGUACUUGGUGUUACUGCGAUGGAGUGACGGAGAAGGCUAGAUCUACCGGGUGUUGGUUGUCCCGGGGAAAGUAUGUAGGCAGAGAGCUUAGGCAAAUCCGGGCUCUUAAUGUCGAGAUACGAGACGACCGGUCUUUGUACCGGAAAGUGAUUGAUGCCAUGCUUCCAGGAAAAUCUUCUAAGCUUCAGGUAACACCGAACCGUACCGUAAACCAACACAGGUGGGUGGGGAGAGAAUCCUAAGGCGCUUGAGAGAACUCGGGUGAAGGAACUAGGCAAAAUGGUACCGUAACUUCGGGAGAAGGUACGCCGGCUUUGGUGAUGGGACUUGCUCCCUAAGCUGAGGCUGUCGAAGUGACCAGGUGGCUGCGACUGUUUAUUAAAAACACAGCACUCUGCAAACACGUAAGUGGACGUAUAGGGUGUGACGCCUGCCCGGUGCCGGAAGGUUAAUUGAUGGGGUUAUCUUCGGAGAAGCUCUUGAUCGAAGCCCCGGUAAACGGCGGCCGUAACUAUAACGGUCCUAAGGUAGCGAAAUUCCUUGUCGGGUAAGUUCCGACCUGCACGAAUGGCGUAACGAUGGCGGCGCUGUCUCCACCCGAGACUCAGUGAAAUUGAAAUUGCUGUUAAGAUGCAGUGUAACCGCGGCUAGACGGAAAGACCCCGUGCACCUUUACUAUAGCUUCACACUGAACUUUGACUAUUUUUGUGUAGGAUAGGUGGGAGACUUUGAAGUCAGGACGUCAGUUCUGGUGGAGUCAACCUUGAAAUACCACCCUGACAUAGUCGGAGUUCUAACCCAGGUCCGUAAUCCGGAUCGGGGACCGUGUGUGGUGG
rnacentral:rRNA from 1 species